rnacentral:sRNA from 1 species
GUGCAGGAACAUUUUAGUAAAGGUGGAACACUUUAAUAUUCACAAAAUCAGAAAACGGUACUCCCAAAAAUAGUUUCCCGCAAUCCCGUACAUGACCUUAGACAAAACAAAGAAUCAUAUUACUUUAUACAUCCAUGUUAUCCUCGCAAAAUUACUUUGGGUACUCAGAAGGGUAUGUGUCAAAGGAUGGGUGAAUGGGAUAAAGGUUUAAUGAAGACUUAAAAUAGUAUGGCAGAGCUCGGUUGAGAUGCUUCUUCCUUAACGACUGCACCCAUCUUCAUCGGAUUUGACAGCUGUCCAGAGUUGUCGUAAUGUGUAAUUCAUAAGGGUUACCUAGAUUCCCCAGUGCUCGGCAUUGCACUGGAAAGGUGGUUAAUAUUUCGCUUCAAACCUGGCUUUCCACACCUCUCUGGCUGCUGAGAUGUUAUUCAUGGCAUCCUCUCGGCGUUUUCUUGGGCCGUCAUUUUCUUGUUAUCAGCAAUCUCAGAUAUAAGUUUGUUACCACUGAUGUCUCGUAGUUGAAAAUCGAAAAUGAGAACAAUUGGUGAAUACUUAGUCGUAGCAGUGAACGACGUAUUGUUCUUCCAUGUAGUCCAUGGACAUGUCUGAGUUCGAUGUUCCAGUACUUGGAAUUCGUUAAAGUCCUCAGGAAAGACAACAUAGUUUAGUUCACCCGUUCGGCCAACCCAUUCUCUCGGGGUGUCCGUACAGAAACCUUGAUUUGUUGAAUAUCGUUCUUUCUCUUUACAGUAAUCGGCAAAUACCGAAGACAGCUGUUCCUCGAUGAGUCACUAUUCGCCUUGGCAAACCAAAGUUUUGUGUCAGCUGGUAAAGCGCGUCCAGCACUGGAUGCGUCUUCGUUGAUCGAACAGGAAUAAUCGCAAAGUAACGUGCAUCAACAAUCUUCAAUUUCCACGUCGACUUUUGAUGAUAGGACCCAAGUGAUCCAUAUGAAUCACUUCAAAAGAUUUCCAUGGGAUAUCCAUCCCAUAAAGCUGGCAUUUAUUCUUUCUCGGUUCUCAGAUAAAACAACAUUCGACACACGAUUCAAUGUCCCUUAUUCGUCUUAACCAUAAAUGUUGCACUAUCUUCUAAAUGGUUGUCAAACUUCAUCAUGGCGUUGUCGAACAAUUCUCCAUCGCAAACCAUUUAGAAUGACCAACAGAUCAUUUUGUUGAAGCCACAUUGCAUGUGAAGGUAGCAAUCCUCGUCAAACACCUAAAGAUCAGUUAGCUCGUUCCGGUCCAUAGAAUCGAUAGCUGCGGUAACGUAAUGGCCAUAGGUAAUUUAAAGGCGCCAAAAACUCGCCUUGUCAUAUUGAGCAUUAUAGGCACUCAGUAUUUCAGCAAGAACCGGUGCCGCCCAGCCUGAGCUUUCCCAGACGAUGGGAAGAGUUUAAAUCAUAUUCGAGCUGCUUUAACAACUAACGCGACACACGUGAAUCCACCGGUGGUUUUCAUACUCGAAAUAUCAGAGCAAUCAGUGUAAACAGUAAAAUGUUGUGAUCACACUUCAACUAGGGCAAGAACCUCCAAUUCAUAUGCAUGGCAUUUUCUCUCCGAAUCACUGCAUUAUCGUCUAAAAUAGGCAAUUGGUCUUCUCGACCCGUCAUCUUCAACCUGUAUGAGAAUUGCGGAAAAAUCCACAACAAGGCUUGAAAAAUAAAUUUUGCGUGAAUCACUGUACAAAAAUGGAAUAAGUUGUUACUUUGAAAACGGUCUCAAACGACAGUUUAUGGCGUCUAGUUUCUAAUCCAACAACGCCUUUAUUCCGAACAAACGUCAAACUAUAGAAAUUUUGAAAAAAACUAGAAAAAAAAAAUCCGCAAAAAGACUGGAAAAAUCGAUUUGCGUGGACCACUGUGCAAAAAUGGUAAAGGGUUGAUACGUUGAAACCGGUCUCAAACGACGACUUAUGAGGUCUGAUUUCUAAUGCAAAUAGGUAUAUAUACCAAAUAAUCGUCAAACUAUCGAAUUUUUGGGAAAAACGUGAAAAAAUGCGCCACAAGACUUGAAAGAUCAAUUUUGCGUGAACCAAUAAUGGAAAAAGUUUAUACGAAGAAACCGGUCUCAAAAGACAGCUUAUGAAGUCUAGUUUCUAAUCCAUAAAGGCCUACAUUACAUAAUCGAAAACCGCAUUUUACGUGGACCACUGUGCGAAAAUGGAAUCACUUGCCUUGAUGAGAUCGGCCUCAUACGACAGCUUAUAAAGCCUAGCAUCUAAUCUAUAUACGAAUUUAUUCCACAAACUCGUCUAAAUAUUGAAAUUUUGCCAAAAAAUCAUCGCUAACAUCAUCGAAAACCGCACUGUGAAAAAAUGAAAACACUUGUUUCGAUGAGACCGGACUCAUACGACAUCUUAUAAAUCUUAGCCUCUAUUCUAUAUACGAAUUUAUUCCAGAAAAUUGUCUAAAUAUCGAAAUUUUGCCAAAAACUCGAAAAAAAUUAGCCAACAUAAUUGAAAA